rnacentral:lncRNA from 15 species
UUUAGGCCACAACAAUCCCCAAAAAAGCCCCAAGAACUGUGUGUAUACUAUAGUUAAAUCAUAAAGGCUUUAAAAACAAACAUUAGCAGGUGUAACUGUGUUGGUUCUUCCCUGGUCAGUAGAUCCUGAUUGUUCUUCUGUUUUCUCAUUUUUCUCUGUCAGGACUGUGUUUACAAACCACAAGAAACGGAGAAGCAAAGAACAACAAAGAGGAUCGUACCUAUGAGGAGAUACAGGAGCUCCCCCAGAAGCCAGACUCAGGAACUGCACUUAAAACUAUUUAUGUCACUGCCAACUUUCCCACAAACCCCUCUUCUGCCCCACAUCAUCACUCCAACAUCAACUUUCAGAGCAGCUCUGGUGACGUUGGUGGUAACACAUAUUUUACUGUGAGGGACGGUGAUCAACAUCCCACCUACUCAACGGUCAACCACCCAUCCAGAUCUUCUGCAGACCCUUUCUAUUCUACUGUCAACAAGCCACAGUGAGGAAGGUCCUGGCAGUUUUCACCUCGUUCAUUUGUGAUGGGAUUUGUUUUUUAGUAUUCAAACAAUACACAGACUUUAGAAAUUACAUUACUCUGGGCCCUGAAGUAACAUGAAUGUGUCGGUCCUGGUUGAACUGGUCCAUAUUGAGGGUAAGGUUAGAUACAAUUACAGGAAUAUGAAAAUGUAAAGUUUGAGGACUCGUGGUUUUGAAUUAAAGACUAUUUGGAAAAAGCAUGGAUUUAACCCUGAAACCAAAAAUGUUAACACUCUUGAUUUAUCUUAUAUUAUCACGAGUAAAGUCAGUUUAUUUACACAAAUUACAGUCGUGCCAUGUAUUUACCUGUUUUAAUGGAUCCCUUUAAUCUCAAAUACUGAAUGCUACAAGAAUAUUGUAAAUCAAAUAUAAACAUUUUAGAUUAAAGUAAUAACCAGUCAGUACGUCAACAGUUUUUUAAACAUUGAUACCAAACAUCACCCGCAGACUGAUACUAAUGUAAUUUAUAUUCUGUAUAUACAGUUUAUUCUAUGUGCAAUAUGUCAUGCAUCAGUUGUUGUUUUAUUGUUUAAAAACAAAUCUUUUUGAAAUGUUCCUUUUUUACUAAAAUACUGCAUUUGUACAAUGUGUCAUUUUUUUUCUCUUUUGAAUAAUUCAACACUGUAUUUGAUUAACAAAAAUAGUUCAUAUAGUGAUAUUAAAAAAGGUUAACCUUUGCUUAGAGUGGUUGUCUUCAUUCUAUAAUCGAUAUAACAAAUUGUACUGUACAUGUGAUUACAUAUAAACCAUAAAAUAUGACAUUACUUCAGGAACAUUCAAAUGAACAGAUGCUAAAAUUUGACCUUUCACACUUUGAGGCUGUUUAAGUCAAAAAGCUACAAAAAUAAAAGCAAAAUUUGCU